GUUACAAAGCAAGCAAUCACCUAAACCGAUAAAAAUGUUCAAGCUCCUCGUUGUCGUUCUGGCCCUUUUCGCCGUUGCCAUGGCAGAUCCCGAGCCGAAACCGGAAGCCAAGCCGCAAUUCUUCUACGGCGCGUACAACGCUUAUCCCUACGCCUACUCUGGAUACUACGGCUAUGCUCCCUAUGGUUAUGGCUACUACGGAAACUACUACAACAACGGCCUUUACAACAGAUUCUUGUAUUAAAUUUUUUCUGAAUAAAUGAUUGUAAAUUA